rnacentral:rRNA from 1 species
CGUGAGAUGUUGGGUUAAGUCCCGUAACGAGCGCAACCCUUGUCCCUAGUUGCCAGCGGUCCGGCCGGGCACUCUAGGGAGACUGCCGGUGACAAACCGGAGGAAGGUGGGGACGACGUCAAGUCAUCAUGGCCCUUACGACCUGGGCUACACACGUGCUACAAUGGCCGGUACAAAGGGCAGCGAAGCGGCGACGCGGAGCGAAUCCUUCAAAACCGGUCGUAGUCCGGAUUGGAGUCUGCAACUCGACUCCAG